CAUGCAAACAAGCUCCAACCUCACGGAAGGAGCGCAUUUAUUAGACCAAGACCAAUCAGGCCUCGGCCUGGAAUCUGGUGACUCUGAAUAACUUUGCUGAUCACAUGGUCUUAGUACCGGUGACGUAUCUUUCAAGUGUCUGCCCUAUCAACUUUCGAUGGUAGGUUAUGUGCCUACCAUGGUUGUAACGGGUAACGGAGAAUAAGGGUUCGACUCCGGAGAGGGAGCCUGAGAAAUGGCUACCACAUCCAAGGAAGGCAGCAGGCGCGCAAAUUACCCACUCUCAGCUCGAGGAGGUAGUGACGAAAAAUAACGAGACGGUUCUCUAUGAGGCCCGUCAUCGGAAUGGGUACAAUUUAAACCCUUUAACGAGGAUCUAUUGGAGGGCAAGUCUGGUGCCAGCAGCCGCGGUAAUUCCAGCUCCAAUAGCAUAUACCAAUACUGUUGCUGUUAAAAAGCUCGUAGUUGGAUCGAUUCCAAGGACGGAGUCUGCCUAAACGGCACGCACUUCGCUCUGAGGAUGUUUUAGCUGGUUUUCCCUUGGUGCACUUAACUGGGUGCCUUGGGUGGCUAGCAAGUUUACUUUGAAAAAAUUAGAGUGCUCAGAACAGGCGUUACUGCCCGAAUAGUGGUGCAUGGAAUAAUGGAAUAGGAUCUCGGUUCUAUUUUGUUGGUUUUAGGAGCGCGAGAUAAUGAUUAAGAGGGACAGACGGGGGCAUUCGUACUGCGGCGUUAGAGGUGAAAUUCUUGGAUCGCCGCAUGACGAACAACUGCGAAAGCAUU
rnacentral:rRNA from 1 species